rnacentral:rRNA from 1 species
AGUGAACGCUGGCGGUAGGCCUAACACAUGCAAGUCGAACGGCAGCACAGUAAGAGCUUGCUCUUACGGGUGGCGAGUGGCGGACGGGUGAGGAAUACAUCGGAAUCUACUUUUUCGUGGGGGAUAACGUAGGGAAACUUACGCUAAUACCGCAUACGACCUACGGGUGAAAGCAGGGGAUCUUCGGACCUUGCGCGAUUGAAUGAGCCGAUGUCGGAUUAGCUAGUUGGCGGGGUAAAGGCCCACCAAGGCGACGAUCCGUAGCUGGUCUGAGAGGAUGAUCAGCCACACUGGAACUGAGACACGGUCCAGACUCCUACGGGAGGCAGCAGUGGGGAAUAUUGGACAAUGGGCACAAGCCUGAUCCAGCCAUACCGCGUGGGUGAAGAAGGCCUUCGGGUUGUAAAGCCCAUUUGUUGGGAAAGAAAAGCAGCAGGUUAAUACCCCGCUGUUCUGACGGUACCCAAAGAAUAAGCACCGGCUAACUUCGUG